rnacentral:rRNA from 1 species
GUUGGAAGAAUUUACAUCAUUUUGCGAAAUAUUUUGGUCCAGAAAUUUAUUGAUGAAUGGAGGGAUAUUUUAAGGGAAUAUAAAGGGGGAUUGGAGUGUUGGGUUUAGGGAGGAGUUUUUUUAGUGGAAAUUUAAAGGGAUUUUAGUAUUUGGGAGGGAAUUUUAUUGGGUAAAUAGUAAAUUAUAUAGUUACCUUGGAAAGGGGGGUAAAGGUUUAUAUAUUUGAAGGAGUUUUUAAAGGGUAUUUAAAAGAUUUGGGUUAAGGUUAUUUAGGGUUGGUUGGGAAUUUAAGAAAUGGUGGUAUAAAUUUGGGGAGGGGGAGGAGUUAAAUAAGUAUAGAGGUUUAAAGAAAAGGGGUAGAAAAACGGAAGGGGGGAGGGGAAAAAGGGAAAAGGGGGAGGAAAGAAGGGGAAAGAAAAAAUCCCAACCGUUAGGGGUUAAAACGCUUCACCGCCUUUUUUGAGUUUGGGGUUCUGCUCAGGAUGAACGCUGGCGGCGUGCCUAAUACAUGCAAGUCGAGCGAACAGACAAGGAGCUUGCUCCUUUGACGUUAGCGGCGGACGGGUGAGUAACACGUGGGUAACCUACCUAUAAGACUGGGAUAACUUCGGGAAACCGGAGCUAAUACCGGAUAAUAUUUCGAACCGCAUGGUUCGAUAGUGAAAGAUGGUUUUGCUAUCACUUAUAGAUGGACCCGCGCCGUAUUAGCUAGUUGGUAAGGUAACGGCUUACCAAGGCGACGAUACGUAGCCGACCUGAGAGGGUGAUCGGCCACACUGGAACUGAGACACGGUCCAGACUCCUACGGGAGGCAGCAGUAGGGAAUCUUCCGCAAUGGGCGAAAGCCUGACGGAGCAACGCCGCGUGAGUGAUGAAGGUCUUCGGAUCGUAAAACUCUGUUAUUAGGGAAGAACAUACGUGUAAGUAACUAUGCACGUCUUGACGGUACCUAAUCAGAAAGCCACGGCUAACUACGUGCCAGCAGCCGCGGUAAUACGUAGGUGGCAAGCGUUAUCCGGAAUUAUUGGGCGUAAAGCGCGCGUAGGCGGUUUUUUAAGUCUGAUGUGAAAGCCCACGGCUCAACCGUGGAGGGUCAUUGGAAACUGGAAAACUUGAGUGCAGAAGAGGAAAGUGGAAUUCCAUGUGUAGCGGUGAAAUGCGCAGAGAUAUGGAGGAACACCAGUGGCGAAGGCGACUUUCUGGUCUGUAACUGACGCUGAUGUGCGAAAGCGUGGGGAUCAAACAGGAUUAGAUACCCUGGUAGUCCACGCCGUAAACGAUGAGUGC